rnacentral:rRNA from 1 species
ACGGAAGGCAGCAGUGGGGAAUAUUGGACAAUGGGGGAAACCCUGAUGCAGCGACGCCGCGUGAGUGAUGAAGUAUUUCGGUAUGUAAAGCUCUAUCAGCAGGAAAGAUAAUGACGGUACCUGACUAAGAAGCACCGGCUAAAUACGUGCCAGCAGCCGCGGUAAUACGUAUGGUGCAAGCGUUAUCCGGAUUUACUGGGUGUAAAGGGAGCGCAGACGGCAUGGCAAGCCAGAUGUGAAAGGCAGGGGCUCAACUCCUGGACUGCAUUUGGAACUGUCAAGCUAGAAUAUCGGAGAGGUAAGUGGAAUUCCUAGUGUAGCGGUGAAAUGCGUAGAUAUUAGGAGGAACACCAGUGGCGAAGGCGGCUUACUGGACGAUAACUGACGUUGAGGCUCGAAAGCGUGGGGAGCAAACAGGAUUAGAUACCCUGGUA